rnacentral:rRNA from 1 species
GACGAACGCUGGCGGCGUGCCUAAUACAUGCAAGUCGAACGCAGUGGGGACGGGUGAGUAACACGUGGGUAACCUCCCAUCAGAGGGGAUAACACUUGGAAACAGGUGCUAAACCGAUACUGAUGGAUGGACCCGCGGUGCAUUAGCUAGUUGGUGAGGUAACGGCCAACCAAGGCCACGAUGCAUAGCCGGCCUGAGAGGGUGAUCGGCGACACUGGUAGUGAGACACUGCCCAGACGCCUACGGGAGGCAGCAGUAGGGAAUCUUCGGCAAUGGACGUAAGUCUGAUCGAGCAACGCCGCGUGAAUGAAGAAGGUUUUCGGAUCGUAAAACUCUGUUAUUAGAGAAGCGGUAUCUAACCAGAAAGCCACGGCUAACUACGUGCCAGCAGCCGCGGUAAUAA